GUAUCCAUGCCUGAAGGAGCCAGGUAGCAUCACAGGAUACGAUGGAUGGAAAACAAGUAUUAAAUACAAGCUUGGAAACUACAGGUCAAAGCUUCGUCAGGCGGGCUGCAAUGAGGUAGAUGUAAACAAGAAAAGAAAAGGGGGAGAUGAGGAUGACAGACCGUUCACCCUGAAAAAGCCCAAACGUGGAGAGGUCAAUCAUGUCCCGGAUUACCCACAACACCAUGAUGAUUCUACUCUUGAGGAGGAAAGAGUUGCUCUGGUCGAUGAAAUGAAGAAGAAAAAAAAGAACAUGACAUUGAUCCGGGACAAGAUGGAGCUGACAUUUUCCCUUAGGCGGAGAGAGGUAGUAGAGGGGCAGCCUAUGGUAGCAGAGGUCCAGGAGAGAUGGCCUGCGCUGUUUUCCAUUGAGGAGAUAUCUGAAGAAUUUCAUCGGAUCACCAGCAGAGACCUCCUGGGGACUUUCAGUGCAUCCCUUGACAAACAUGUGCCUUGCCUGCUGAAACUGUACCGGGCUAGGAAGGGAGCUUUUGGACAGAAGAUGGAAGACCUCCUCGAAAAGCCUGAUGAACAAACAUCGGACAUUGUGUCUCACCGAAAGACAGCAGCACUGAGAGGCCUGCCCAUUUUUGUCCGGG